rnacentral:rRNA from 1 species
AGCUCCAAUAGUGUAUAUUAAAUUUGCUGCAGUUAAAGCGUCCGUAGUUUGAUGUCGUCCAAUCCGGUGAGUUGCGGAGGUACCUCGGUACUUCACGCGCUCUCAACGUUGGACUGGGGGAGACAUAGGGCAACUUACGUCCCCCCGUUACUUUGAGCAAAUUGGAGUGUUCCAAUCAAGCUUUAGCUUGAACAGCUCAGCAUGGAAUAAUGAGAUAGGACUUUGGUUCUUCUCGCUGGUGUCAUGGACCGAAUGUAAUGGUUGAUAAGGACAUACGGGGGCAUUCGUACUUGAUGGAGAGAGGUGAAAUUCUAAGACCCAUCAAAGACGGUCCAGUGCGAAAGCAUUUGCUCAGUGUGUUCCUG